ensembl:lncRNA
AAAAAAAUGAGAGAGAUUGUGGCAUAGCUAAAAAUACAACUGUUGGUUUAGACGCCUUUAGUGCGUCACUGAAGGUGAGAGAGUUCAGGACGUUCGUCCGUCUGUCAAGCACAAACACAAGCUUGAGAACGCCGGGGCACAAACCACGCAGGAAACUGUUACGACUGAUUCGAUAAAUCCAAAGAAAGUUUAAGACUUGUGGUGUCUUAGAAGAGGCCUUUUACACCCCGUUAUGGCAAAGUUCCAUGGACCAAGGUUUUUAUUCCUGAUCCUGGCAGGAUUAGUGUUAUGUACUGCAGAUGACAAAAAUGGACCAGAUGUUGCGGAUGACACAACUGGAUCAGGCUUUCCUUGCGAGACGAGAAUCUUCACCACCUAAAUCAUGAGUGCCGGUGCCCGUCGUCAGUCCCUUCUCUCUCCGUUACUGGACCUGGAUCUGGAUCUGGACCUCCCUUAUGUUUAUUUUAUGACAUUUUUUAUCCACAACAAUUCUUUAAUUAAUUAAUUUAAAGAUUUAAUUUAACCUUCUUUAUGUAAAUUAACAAUUGACUAGGUGUGUCACUGAACAAUAAAACUGAAUUUUAACAUGAAAUUAGAAUCGAGAUAGCUGAAAUCUAAGAGAGAACUUCUUAAAGCAGUCACAAUGCAAAAAUAAAAAAAACUAAACAUUAAAAUAAAUAGUAUUCUGUUCAAGUGAGUUUAAUUCAACUCAUACAGCUUUUGGAUUUGUUUGUUACUUACAGGUUUGUUUGUUUGUUUGUUUGCUUUUUUAAAAAAGGAAAACAAAACAGUGUAUCCAUGUUCUCAGGCAGAAGCUGGGAUAUUUCUGCAAAAUGUAGAUAGAUGGAAGGAAGUGAUUUUCUACAUAGGAAGCACUAUCACAAACUCAACAUGCCUAUGUUUUGCAUCUGCACUUCAUCACACCACCUCAUCUUUCAGUAUUUUACUAUAAGAGCCCCGUCCAACAGUCAGGAACUGUUAAUCAUCUAAUUAUCCAAUAUUUUGUCAAAUAUUAACAGAGACUUUUAAUUUUCACAUAUGAUUUUAUUCAGGAUUGAUUGUCCUGCUGCUGUCAGUCACCGGUGUGUGUCUUUUACUGGCUGGACUGUGUCUCUACGCGUGUAUCAAUGCUGAUGAGGUUUACACAGAGGUGAUGUACACACUCUCCACUCUUCAGUUCUCAGAGGAAACACAGCUCCUUUCAACUUCAUCUGAAUGAUGGACACUGAACCCCUUCUCUUCUGUCACACACCUCUCAGUUUCAAAAUUCCCACCCUGCCAGCACUAUGUGCUCGGCAGCACCAUUAUACUUUUCUGUGCCUGAUUGCGUCAUAUCACAAACAUUUUAUAACAUUUUAUAACAGUACUUGACAGUCUGUUGUAUGCAGUAUCUCUCUGUAUGCUGGUUGUCUUCAGCUCAAGCACUUUACGUACUGUAGAGAGCCACCCUUUGGGGAGAGGUUAGGCUAGCACGUACACCCAGGGUAUGGAUCUUCACAUCUUCUCAUCCUGUCUGCCACUGACUGACAGACCCCCCGUUGAUGGCAGCUUUGUACCGGACCUUCACGUGUUCCCCACCAUCUCGUCAUUGGAGGAUUGAGCAUCCUCCAGGGGUUCGCAUGUUCUGGUAGUCCGCUGUCGCCUUGUAGUCAGCAUUCUCUCGUUGCUCCAGGACUCCUACCUCCGGGUGAACACCUCUGAACACCUCCCCCCGUUGAGGCGGUGACGCCUCACACAUAACACUGCACUCAGCUCUGUUCCUGUGAAUAUAUAGCUCCAUACAUAAUAGUUAGUGGUCUUAUAUAUGUUCUUGAUUCAUCUGCAAUUACUCCAGCGGCCGUCCAUCAUAAGGAACAGACACAGACAUGGGUCGACCCAUGCAAGAGGUAGAGCCUCUACCGAAAUACGUUUAGUAUCAGCACAAAUUACAUCAAACACAAAUCAGGGUAUGCCAGACCUAUCCAAGGUCAAGGAAAAAAUAAAUAAUUUUGAGCACACUUCAGGUGAUCCUCCACCGUUGCCUGCAAGUACAGAGAUCAUUUCUCUACUUUCCCCCUCGCACACUGGCUAAGAUCAUGGGCAGCUGUAAUACAUACAGCAAGAAGUGCAGUCAGAAUUCAAUUAAACUAUUUGUUCGAUAAGUGGCGUUCCAAUUUUUCCCUAGAACCUCAUUGCAUUCAAACAACUCCAAACAGACGACACAAUCCGUGGGCCUAAACGUCAG